AUAAUUUUAAAAGGAGUCUCUUUUAAUUUAUCUCAAAUGAUGCUUCACCAAAUGACUACUUGUUUGCGAAAAAUCAAAACAUGUUUGCCUUACAGUGCUACUUUCACUACUUUGUUCAAUCAUUUUAAAAUCUCUUUUGAAAAUGAAGUCUCUAUUUCUGUUACUGAUUCCAUCAGCGUUGGUUCCUUAAAAAUGUCGCGUAUUAUUUUAAUUGAUGGUAAGUUUGUUCGAAGCACUUCUGACAAUCUUAUUCCUCCUCCUGUGUCUAC
rnacentral:lncRNA from 1 species